rnacentral:rRNA from 1 species
UACGUAGGGUCCAAGCGUUGUCCGGAGUUACUGGGCGUAAAGCGCGCGCAGGCGGCGGUGCUGGCCCGGCGUGAAAGCCCCCGGCUCAACCGGGGAGGGUCGUCGGGGACCGCACCGCUUGAGGGCGGUAGGGGCUGGUGGAAUGCCUGGUGUAGUGGUGAAAUGCGUAGAGAUCAGGCGGAACACCCGUGGCGAAGGCGGCCAGCUGGGC